AAAGAAACACUUAGGAGUAAUGAGAAAGAAAUUGAAUGACCAUGAAAAUGGAGAAUUUAGUUGUCAUGGAAAUUUUAAAACUAAAGAACAAGAAGUGAAUGUUUCAGUGGAUAUGUUUAAAAAUGAGAUCCAUGAAUUGAAAGAAAAAUGGGGAACUAUAUCCUCCAAAUAUCUACCUCUGAAUAUGCAAUUUAAAUACAUUGAGCAGGAGUUGUUAUCCAUAAAAAUAGCACAAAAGCAAUACGAGAAGCUGCGUGAAGAUCAGAGGAGUCUGCGAAGGGAGGCACUAGGCCUGCAGUGCCAGCUGCGAGAGAACAUGGCAAAACUAGAAGACAAAAAGCAUGCACUGGCACAAAGAGACAGUAAUUAUGACUCGGUAAUGAGUCAGAUGGAACUCAGGAUUAAAAACCUUGAGUCGGAGCUCGAGAAACUGGAAGCUGAGAAAGAGUCCAAUGAGAGAAAGGUAGAGAAAUACCAACAGCGCUGUGUCCGAGAGCGGGAGCUCAGCCAAAUGCUAUCACAUAAACUCACCAAAACUAAUAACAAACUAAGCAAAGUCAGAACAGACAUUUUGCUGGUGACAGAACGGAACAGAACUGUACAGAACACUCUUACUACAAGGCCUGUCCCCAAAAGUCCUGGUGUCACGAAGCAUGAUACUUAUAUAAACCGCAACCCUAACUUCAUCGCAAGCAGAAACUCAGAGCCUGCCAUACCCAGCCCUCAGCCUUCUCCUGAGCUUAUGGGGAGGAGUCUAUUCAAGAAGCAGCAAAAAAUGGUAAAAGACAUAACUGAAGAGGUAGAUAAAGCUGCAGCUGAACUUGAGUCUUGGUCCUUGGAAGCUUAUCCUUCAGGAUCUAAGUAACAAAUCAAGAUCUAUUUUAGGGAAUAGCAAAGACGUGCACAGAUUAAAAUAAACAUGUUUUUCCGAACAA
rnacentral:lncRNA from 1 species